rnacentral:lncRNA from 1 species
CUUCUUGACAGUAUCGUCGUAUCUCUCACAACAAAACCCUAACACAUAUUUUCUCUCUUCUUCUUCGUCAUUAGCUUUCACAUUCUACAGUAUAGCCUCAAUAUUGUUCUUCAUACAUAAAUGUAUUCUUGUUUUUCCUAAUUCUCUCAUUUUCGUUUAUAUUAUUGUUAUGUUUCACAUGACUUUUCUUCUUGUUCAAGAG